rnacentral:rRNA from 1 species
AGCAAACAGGAUUAGAUACCCUGGUAGUCCACGCUGUAAACGAUGUCGAUUUGGAGGUUGUUCCCUUGAGGAGUGGCUUCCGGAGCUAACGCGUUAAAUCGACCGCUGGGGAGUACGGCCGCAAGGUUAAAACUCAAAUGAAUUGACGGGGGCCCGCACAAGCGGUGGAGCAUGUGGUUUAAUUCGAUGCAACGCGAAGAACCUUACCUACUCUUGACAUCCAGAGAAUUUAGCAGAGAUGCUUUAGUGCCUUCGGGAACUCUGAGACAGGUGCUGCAUGGCUGUCGUCAGCUCGUGUUGUGAAAUGUUGGGUUAAGUCCCGCAACGAGCGCAACCCUUAUCCUUUGUUGCCAGCACAUUAUGGUGGGAACUCAAAGGAGACUGCCGGUGAUAAACCGGAGGAAGGUGGGGAUGACGUCAAGUCAUCAUGGCCCUUACGAGUAGGGCUACACACGUGCUACAAUGGCGUAUACAAAGAGAAGCGACCUCGCGAGAGCAAGCGGAACUCAUAAAGUACGUCGUAGUCCGGAUUGGAGUCUGCAACUCGACUCCAUGAAGUCGGAAUCGCUAGUAAUCGUAGAUCAGAAUGCUACGGUGAAUACGUUCCCGGGCCUUGUACACACCGCCCGUCACACCAUGGGAGUGGGUUGCAAAAGAAGUAGGUAGCUUAACCUUCGGGAGGGCGCUUACCACUUUGUGAUUCAUGACUGGGGUGAAGUCGUAACAAGGUAACCA